CUGCCCCACAUGCGGGCUUUCGUGAUUUCUCAUACAUUAGUGGCUCGACAACUAAAGGAACAAUGGACUGCAACCCUGGAUUCACUCUCGUUGGUACCCUGCCGAUGAUGUGCAGGGGUGGAAACAAGUGGAGUUCUGAAUGCAAAGCUUGUAAUCCUACUGCCGGGGAUCACAUCGCAAGCAUAACACAAGAUGGGUUUGUAACUUGUGAAAUUGGAUAUGCUUACCUUCAUCCUCAACCGGUGUGUAAUGGAACGUCAACAAUCAAAAGUUGCACGAAUUCUACAAGCUAUUCUAAUCCUACUUACUGCAAAAAUCUAACCCUUCGCUAUCAACAAGGAUAUGGAGGACGCGUGAAUGGCACGGAAGCCCGCGAGAUCUGUCAGUCAUCAGGAAUGGACUUGCCCACAAUGCGCCACUUUAAUGGGGAAUUAAUUACCGGUCAUUGCUUAUACCAACUGAUUGAAAAUUGGCGUCAUGAUGUGAUAUCGCCCAGGCCCAAAUUGGAUAUAGGGGUUUUCAGUUGGAAUCUUGAUCGCGACCAAGAGUAUCUCGGUGUAUUCUUCCGGGGUGGAGAACAAAGUAGAUUGCGUGAUGGAAUAACGCAUC